GGGCUUGGAGCAGUUAAAUAUUCCCAACUUUGGGCGAGAGCAAGAUCUUUACGCUUUAGCUAUAAACUUACUCCUGCUUCAGGCCCCAUCUUUUCACAUUCCUCUACCAGAGGAAUACGCCAUCAACUUCUAGUUCAGACACAGAUUCAGUAACUGCUCUAUUUUCUGUUUUAUCAAUCUGUGCCUGUGUGUUUCUACAACAUCCCACUGCGGAAGAGAAAGCCCCGGUUACCAAAGCAAGAAAUCUUGUCCUCUGGUCUGGUUCAAAGCAUGUAUCACGCAGGGGAGUAGGUAAAGAAAAUCCUUGUCAGGAAAGCAGGCCUGAGGACUAAAUCUCACACCAUGAAACACCCCUUCCUCCUAAAACCUGAAACAAAAAGCUAAGCUGUGACUCAGCCCCCUGCAAAAGGGGCUCAAAGCAUUUGUUAGAAUAAAGGGGAGUGCAAGAGGCCAGCAGACCAGCACUCGUCAGGGGCCACGGGGCUUCAUUUCAGGGCACACGCACUUCAGUAUUUCUAGAAAUGACCAGGGCAAGGGACUUAGAUGCA
ensembl:lncRNA